rnacentral:rRNA from 1 species
UACGUAGGCAGCGAGCGUUGUUCGGAGUUACUGGGCGUAAAGAGUGCGUAGGCGGUUUUCUAAGUUUGGUGUGAAAUCUCCCGGCUCAACUGGGAGGGUGCGCCGAAGACUGGAAGACUAGAGUGUGGGAGAGGUAAGCGGAAUUCCUGGUGUAGCGGUGAAAUGCGUAGAUAUCUGGAGGAACACCGGUGGCGAAGGCGGCAUCCUGGACCGACAUUGACGCUGAGGCGCGAAAGCCAGGGGAGCAAACGGG